GACAACUCCAGCUGAGAUCAGCCAACAGCCAAUGUAUCCCAACUCACCUGGGCCAGCCUGUGCAAAAGAGUGCGAGAGAUAAGCUGAGACCCAGCUGACCAUCAGCACCUAAAUAAUAAACACUUCUUUUGAUAGAAGAAACAUUGGUUUAAAUCAAAAUCGUAACCCCUCAUCUGUCACGUCAACCUGGGUUGAGAGAUGGCCUUCUUCGUUCCUGAUUCCCUUCUUCAACCUAUCGCUACCAGCCAAAUC
rnacentral:lncRNA from 1 species